rnacentral:tRNA from 1 species
GGGGACAGUUGUAGUCAUCUCCCCUUUGUGCAUGGCGCUCUACUAGUGGCAUCCACUCCCGAGUCUUGCGGCCACGUCCCGAGUGUCUUGACCCUGCUAAGGUGGAGUCCCCGUAAGGGGACCGAGGGUUCAAAUCCCUCCGUCUCCG